rnacentral:tRNA from 1 species
GGCAUUAUGGCUGAGGAUUUAAGCGGUAAAUUGUAAAUUUAUUGACGAGUUAAUACUCUUUUGCCA